rnacentral:rRNA from 1 species
CCUACGGGGGGCAGUAGGGAAUCUUCCACAAUGGACGAAAGUCUGAUGGAGCAACGCCGCGUGAGUGAAGAAGGGUUUCGGCUCGUAAAGCUCUGUUGGUAGUGAAGAAAGAUAGAGGUAGUAACUGGCCUUUAUUUGACGGUAAUUACUUAGAAAGUAACGGCUAACUACGUGCCAGCAGCCGCGGUAAUACGGAGGUGGCAAGCGUUGUCCGGAUUUAUUGGGCGUAAAGCGAGUGCAGGCGGUUCAAUAAGUCUGAUGUGAAAGCCUUCGGCUCAACCGGAGAAUUGCAUCAGAAACUGGUGAACUUGAGUGCAGAAGAGGAGAGUGGAACUCCAUGUGUAGCGGUGGAAUGCGUAGAUAUAUGGAAGAACACCAGUGGCGAAGGCGGCUCUCUGGUCUGCAACUGACGCUGAGGCUCGAAAGCAUGGGUAGCGAACAGGAUUAGAUACCCCAGUAGUC